rnacentral:rRNA from 1 species
UUUUCAUCAGACAAUCUGUGUGAGCACUGCANNNNNNNNNNNNNNNNNNNNUUCUUUAAGGUAAGGAGGUGAUCCAACCGCAGGUUCCCCUACGGUUACCUUGUUACGACUUCACCCCAGUCAUGAAUCACAAAGUGGUAAGCGCCCUCCCGAAGGUUAAGCUACCUACUUCUUUUGCAACCCACUCCCAUGGUGUGACGGGCGGUGUGUACAAGGCCCGGGAACGUAUUCACCGUGGCAUUCUGAUCCACGAUUACUAGCGAUUCCGACUUCAUGGAGUCGAGUUGCAGACUCCAAUCCGGACUACGACGCACUUUAUGAGGUCCGCUUGCUCUCGCGAGGUCGCUUCUCUUUGUAUGCGCCAUUGUAGCACGUGUGUAGCCCUGGUCGUAAGGGCCAUGAUGACUUGACGUCAUCCCCACCUUCCUCCAGUUUAUCACUGGCAGUCUCCUUUGAGUUCCCGGCCGGACCGCUGGCAACAAAGGAUAAGGGUUGCGCUCGUUGCGGGACUUAACCCAACAUUUCACAACACGAGCUGACGACAGCCAUGCAGCACCUGUCUCACGGUUCCCGAAGGCACAUUCUCAUCUCUGAAAACUUCCGUGGAUGUCAAGACCAGGUAAGGUUCUUCGCGUUGCAUCGAAUUAAACCACAUGCUCCACCGCUUGUGCGGGCCCCCGUCAAUUCAUUUGAGUUUUAACCUUGCGGCCGUACUCCCCAGGCGGUCUACUUAACGCGUUAGCUCCGGAAGCCACGCCUCAAGGGCACAACCUCCAAGUAGACAUCGUUUACGGCGUGGACUACCAGGGUAUCUAAUCCUGUUUGCUCCCCACGCUUUCGCACCUGAGCGUCAGUCUUUGUCCAGGGGGCCGCCUUCGCCACCGGUAUUCCUCCAGAUCUCUACGCAUUUCACCGCUACACCUGGAAUUCUACCCCCCUCUACAAGACUCAAGCCUGCCAGUUUCGAAUGCAGUUCCCAGGUUGAGCCCGGGGAUUUCACAUCCGACUUGACAGACCGCCUGCGUGCGCUUUACGCCCAGUAAUUCCGAUUAACGCUUGCACCCUCCGUAUUACCGCGGCUGCUGGCACGGAGUUAGCCGGUGCUUCUUCUGCGGGUAACGUCAAUUGCUGCGGUUAUUAACCACAACACCUUCCUCCCCGCUGAAAGUACUUUACAACCCGAAGGCCUUCUUCAUACACGCGGCAUGGCUGCAUCAGGCUUGCGCCCAUUGUGCAAUAUUCCCCACUGCUGCCUCCCGUAGGAGUCUGGACCGUGUCUCAGUUCCAGUGUGGCUGGUCAUCCUCUCAGACCAGCUAGGGAUCGUCGCCUUGGUGAGCCGUUACCUCACCAACAAGCUAAUCCCAUCUGGGCACAUCUGAUGGCAAGAGGCCCGAAGGUCCCCCUCUUUGGUCUUGCGACGUUAUGCGGUAUUAGCCACCGUUUCCAGUAGUUAUCCCCCUCCAUCAGGCAGUUUCCCAGACAUUACUCNNNNNNNNNNNNNNNNNNNNCCCGUCCGCCACUCGUCAGCAAAGCAGCAAGCUGCUUCCUGUUACCGUUCGACUUGCAUGUGUUAGGCCUGCCGCCAGCGUUCAAUCUGAGCCAUGAUCAAACUCUUCAAUUUAAAAGUUUGAUGCUCAAUGAAUUAAACUUCGUAAUGAAUUACGUGUUCACUCUUGAGACUUGGUAUUCAUUUUUCGUC